rnacentral:rRNA from 1 species
CCCUUAGAUGUUCUGGGCCGCACGCGCGCUACACUGUUCGACGCAGCGAGUCUUAACCUUGACCGAAAGGUUUGGGUAAUCUUCAGCAAGUCGAACGUGAUGGGGAUCGAUCAUUGCAAUUAUUGAUCGUGAACGAGGAAUUCCUAGUAAGUGCAAGUCAUCAGCUUGCGCUGAUUACGUCCCUGCCCUUUGUACACACCGCCCGUCGCUACUACCGAUUGAAUGGUUUAGUGAGAUCUCUGGAUUGACGCUGGCUAGGGGGCGACCCUUGGCCAGACUGCUCGAGAAACUGCUCAAACUUGAUCAUUUAGAGGAAGUAAAAGUCGUAACA